AGGGAAUCUUCCGCAAUGGACGCAAGUCUGACGGAGCAACGCCGCGUGAAUGAAGAAGGUUUUCGGAUCGUAAAACUCUGUUGUUAGAGAAGAACAAGUGCUAGAGUAACUGUUAGCGCCUUGACGGUAUCUAACCAGAAAGCCACGGCUAACUACGUGCCAGCAGCCGCGGUAAUACGUAGGUGGCAAGCGUUGUCCGGAUUUAUUGGGCGUAAAGCGAGCGCAGGCGGUUCCUUAAGUCUGAUGUGAAAGCCCCCGGCUCAACCGGGGAGGGUCAUUGGAAACUGGGGAACUUGAGUGCAGAAGAGGAGAGUGGAAUUCCAUGUGUAGCGGUGAAAUGCGUAGAUAUAUGGAGGAACACCAGUGGCGAAGGCGACUCUCUGGUCUGUAACUGACGCUGAGGCUCGAAAGCGUGGGUAGCAAACAGGAUUAGAUACCCUGGUAGUCCACGCCGUAAACGAUGAGUGCUAAGUGUUGGAGGGUUUCCGCCCUUCAGUGCUGCAGUUAACGCAUUAAGCACUCCGCCUGGGGAGUACGACCGCAAGGUUG
rnacentral:rRNA from 1 species